AUGAAGAACGCAGCGAAUUGCGAUACGUAGUAUGACUUGCAGACGUGAAUCAUCGAAUCUUUGAACGCAUAUUGCGCCUUGGGGCAUUCCCCAAGGCAUGCCUGUUUGAGCGUGAUAUCUUCUCACCCUUGGUGGAUUUGUUUCUAAAUAUCAUGCCACAGUGAAGUCUACGCUUUCACUGCUUUUUCCCCUCAAAUCAGGUAGGACUACCCGCUGAACUUAAGCAUAUCAAUAAGCGGAGGAAAAGAAACCAACAGGGAUUGCCUCAGUAACGGCGAGUGAAGCGGCAAGAGCUCAACUUUGGAAUCGCUGCGGCGAGUUGUAGUCUGGAGGUGGCCGGUCCCGGCGCCAGCGCGCAGCCAAGUCCUUUGGAACAAGGCGCCUGAGAGGGUGACAGCCCCGUGGCAGUUUGUGCUGGUGCCGCCUCGGCCCACCGACGAGUCGAGUUGUUUGGGAAUGCAGCUCUAAGUGGGUGGUAAAUUCCAUCUAAAGCUAAAUACCGGCGAGAGACCGAUAGCGAACAAGUACAGUAAUGGAAAGAUGAAAAGCACUUUGAAAAGAGAGUGAAACAGUACGUG
rnacentral:rRNA from 2 species